rnacentral:tRNA from 1 species
UCCCUGGUGGCUCAGAUGGUAAAGAAUCUGUCUGCAAUACAGGAGACCUGGGUUCGAUCCCUGGGUUGGGAA